GGGUCUAUUUGGAAACAGCCUCUCUACCCCAGUGUAGGGGUAAGGUCUGCAUACAUACUACCCUCCCCAAACCCCACUAAGUGGGAUUAUACUGGGUUAAUGUUGUUGUUGUUGUUUGUUGAUAUUCAUGUCAGACGCAAAAAGUUGCUUCAUUUAGCAAUAAAUGUGAGUAGGUGCAGACUGGGUGACAAAAGUAGCAUGCAUAAUAGUAAAAAGAUUGAGUUUAUUUUACUUGUUCCGCUCUUUAUUUAUUUAUUUAUUUUUAGUCAAGAAAACGUUUUUACUGGAUGUCCCCGAAGGCACUGCAGCGCUUUUCUUUGAAUAACUGUUCUUUUAUGCUCACAAGUUGCUAGUAUUGAAGUAUGCUUUCAUGCCUUAUCCCAGGUGUAUUAUGAGCUUGACGAGGAGAGGAAGAAAGUUGAUGGGAAAGACGUUGCAAUCUGUCGGGUGGAACAGCUUUGUCCUUUCCCGUACGACCUUGUUCAACGUGAAUUGAAGCGAUAUCCAAGUAUGUCUUCUCAAAUAUUUGGGCUAUAUCCUUUGUUGUUAAGUCCUUUCCCUUACGACCUUGUUCAACGUGAAUUGAAGCGAUAUCCAAGUAUGUCUUCUGAAAUAUUUGGGCUAUAUCCUUUGUUGUUAAAUUACAGGGAAAAGUUGCAUUAAACAUUUAUAGCGAAGACAAUAAGUUUCUGCACCUGAAGCACAGUUGCACGCACUACCUUAAGGGCAGUCCCUAGACAAGACUAACUUAUUUGCCUUUGGUGGCGCCUUUUAUUGAGGUUGCUGCUGUAAAGUUAUGUCAAAUGUUUAGUGAAGCUAAUUUAAUGUCGUUUAACUGUCAUGUUGUC
rnacentral:lncRNA from 1 species